GUGAGUCAAUUAAAUCUUCUUCCUUUACAAAUUACCCAGUCUCAGGAAAGUUCUUUAUAGCAGUGUGAGAAAAGACUAACAUACCAUGUCUUGACAGGUUGCCCAGGCUGGUCUCAGACUCAUGGACUCAAGUGAUCCACACAUCUUUGCCUCCCAAAUUGCUGGGAUAACACAUGUGAUUCAUGGUGCUCAGCCUAAAUCUUUGUUUCAUGAUCUUUUAGUUGAAAGAAAUCAAAACUUCAAUGCCAUUGGACACUUCAUGAAGAUGUGUCAAGAUAAGAUCCCAUUCCUGUUUCCCUCUGUGAUGAUGUCACUGAUCUGUUCUUGGAAUUGGAAGAGGAAUCAAGAAAGAACAGUAACAGAAAAGAGAAAACCUGAUACUAGUGGAAAAAAUGAGUGAGAUGCAUCACAGACUGAAGAAUCUGCCUCCCAGAAUGAGCAACAACCCAUUUGAAGCAGUAAAAGGAAAUUCUAAGUAAUGAUCUGUUAAGUACUAUCUGCUAAUAUUUUCCCUGGAUCUGUAAUGUGGCAUGAACACUAGUUCCUUAAACUUGCAUUGCAUACCAAUAAACAUAAAUAAAUUACCACAAAUAAAUGUC